UUCUGGGAUCUAGGUAUGCCAAGAAGGAUUUUCUGGAAAAUCAAAUUUGAAACUGAUUGAAAAACAGCCUAUGGAACUCUUAUGGGUUGUGAUCUAAAUUGUAUUUGCUACCAGCACAAGAUCUUUGGUUACUGCAAUUUGUACCUGUCACCACGGUUGACAUUAUAACAGUGACAGACGUUUUAUAAGGUGAAAAUUUUAUUAUUAUUUUUUUAAAAUCAAAUCUGGGCCGACCUGUAGUGCACAAACAGGAAGCGUGAAAAGUUUAAUGAAAAUAUGCGAACGAACGUUUAUUGUUCAAGUUCAUCCGAUUUAAAUUUAGAUCGGCGCAGCAUUUUCAUUGAUAAAUUCGCGGCGUAUAUUGUUCUAAAUUUCGUUUGAUUUUUUCUUAGAAUUGCUUGGGGAUAUUUCGGGGAAAAAUUUGGUGGGAAGCUCCUACUCUAAAUAUUUUUCAGGAUUUCUGAAUUCCAUAGAGUGUAGGUAACUUGUAGAAUUAAUUAUGGCAACAAAUUGGGAUUUUCGGAGAUUAUUGAACUUUUUUAAAAUUUCUUAUGUAAACAUUGUGGAAAGGGAAGAACGUGGAUUUAAGGAAAAUGGGUAUAUGUAAGAAAGACUAUGGAAAUAUCUAUGAGUUACAUAAAGAAGCUGAAACAUGGUUUAAACUUUCAUGGAUUCAGACAUUUUUAUGGCAUGUAAUUUACACCUAUCAGAUCAACAAAAAUCACUUUUUAUUAGCAGUAUUAAAUACCUGGAUUAAAAUUGAAAAUUCCCUUAAAGUCUAGGGAGUAUAAGAAAACUCCUGGGAGACAUAAAAAUUACGUCAAAUAUGCCUGGAAGUCAUCGAAAAUUACUCUAAAAGCCUGGAAAACAUAGAAAAUUAAGCAGAAUCAGGCAUAAAUAAAAAAGUGACUUUACAUGAAUGAGCAGGAAAUUGUGUUAAAUUCAUGGAAGAUAACAGUGCAAUAGCAGAGUUAAUAAUGCUGGUUCUACUGGAAAGCGGGGUCGUCCAAGUUUUUCAAUGCAAGAUGUUAGAACAGAUAGAUAUGAUCAUCUUCCAUUGUAGUGUAAUGAGAGGCAAAGAUGCAAAUAUCUCUGUGGCGCAAAAAGCUUCAUAAAAUGCGAGAAAUGUAGGGUUUUUCUCUGUUUAAACAAAGAUAGGAACUGUAUUUACAAGUUUUACACUGAAUAAAUUUUAUUAUAAAAUAAUAAAGGUAUUUUUUACAAUUUUUAAA